UCAGGAUGAACGCUGGCGGCGUGCUUAACACAUGCAAGUCGAACGAAGCAACUAUACGAUCCCUCGGGGUGACGAUUUGUUGACUGAGUGGCGGACGGGUGAGUAACGCGUGGGUAACCUGCCUUGUACAGGGGGACAACAGUUGGAAACGACUGCUAAUACCGCAUAAGCGCACAGCUUCGCAUGAAGCAGUGUGAAAAGUUUUUCGGUACAAGAUGGACCCGCGUCUGAUUAGCUAGUUGGUGAGGUAACGGCCCACCAAGGCGACGAUCAGUAGCCGACCUGAGAGGGUGACCGGCCACAUUGGGACUGAGACACGGCCCAAACUCCUACGGGAGGCAGCAGUGGGGAAUAUUGCACAAUGGGCGAAAGCCUGAUGCAAGCGACGCCGCGUGAGCGAAGAAGUAUUUCGGUAUGUAAAGCUCUAUCAGCAGGGAAGAUAAUGACGGUACCUGACUAAGAAGCACCGGCUAAAUACGUGCCAGCCGCCGC
rnacentral:rRNA from 1 species